UGUACAGGUGCUGAGCAACUUUGUUGAGGACUUAAAUGUUUAGUGCAAUAGGUAACUUUACAAUUUUCCAUCAGGUUCUUCUUCUACCAUGUGAUAAAAUCAUGUCUGCAAUGAGACCUCAAAGAAAGAAUUUCAAGAACUUGAGGUGAUAAGUGGGACGGACUUGUUUCUAAAACGGGAUGAAGAAGUGUUUCCAGGCACCCAGAAAAAAGGAAGAUGUGUGCAUACACAUUCCCCCAUCGAAAAGGGGGAUAUUUUUCUAAAAUAUGAAGGAAUGAUAACAAGGAAGGAGCCGAUUGGAAAUGACACAUAUGUGUUUGAAUUCCGAUUUAAGGGGGAAAAAGUGUUGGUUUGAUGGAACUACAGAAGAUGGCAGUUUUGGAAGGCUUGUAAAUGACUCCACCCACGGCAUUUGCAAAGUGCAGUGCUUUGAGGAGGAGGGUCUAUCAAGCUUAUAUUUUGUUGCCCUCCGUGACAUUCUGCCACUGGUCAGAUGCUACAGUUGACUGUGCCAGCGUCAUCUCUCGUGCAGAGAAGAAGUUGUGUAUAACUAUGGUGCAGAACCAUAUCCAUGGGGGCAAAAGGACAGGUUUGAUUUAUACACUGAUGUUGGAGCUUGGGUAAAGCCACUUGACUACAUUACCCAGCUCAGGCAGUCUGCAAUAUUCAAAGAAGUGAGGACUUUGAGUUCUUGAUGACUGCAGUGUCCAUGACUAAGAUGUUGAACUAGAUGGCCUAGAUCCAGAACUGACUACAUGGACCAAGGACGAGUUUGCCAUAUGCAGUCGCUGAUGUUGGAACUUGGGACAAGCAGUUUGAAUACAUUGCCCAGCACAGGCAGUCUGAAAUGCUGGAAUAAGACAUAUGGGGGUGCAAAACAGCAUGAAGCAAGUUCCAUUGGUUACCCUCUGGGCAGCUACGUAUGAUUCGGCCUAAAGUCUCCAUGGUCAGCCCAGGCAGCCUUCCGGCACUUUGUCAGAGGCCAGAUCAUCAGAGAUGUGAUAUUGAGAGUCAUGAGGUAGCUGCUGUCAAAGAUUGGGCUCGGAUCUGACAAGCAGCCAAUAGUUUGCCUUUUAAAGAGUGCGGCAUAUCAUUCCCACAAGGUACAUUUUAUAACAAAAUGAAUAAAUACUUGUUAUAUACAUGUGUCACCAUUAUUCAAUUGAGCUGUUCAUAAUGUUAUUAUAUUUUAAUAAGAGUGAACUGCAACCUCAGUUUUAUUGUACUUUCACCUAUAUGGAACAUGUGUUUGUAAAUGUUUUUAAUGUUUCUUACGAUUUAAGACAAAUAGUGUAAGCAUUUUUUUGUUUUGGUAAUACUAUGUGUAAUUAGUUAAAUAUUUUAGAAAAAUAUGUGCAGUACUAUAUGAUUGAAUGCAUAUACUUCACUUUCCUUAUUUUAUCCGAAGAAGAACUUCAAUGUUGAGUUUGUAAAUAUGUUUUAACAUGUUUGGUAUUCAUAUUAGUUGUUGCUAUUUUAUAUGUGUUCUGUUCUUGUAGUUAGUUCAUGUACUGUAAUAAGGUAUUGAUAAGAAAAGUUCAUUGGUUUGGUUAAAAAAUGUAUUAAGCAUUUAGAUGAUUAAUUACUAUUAUGUAUAUCUGUCAUAGACUGUAUAACUGACAAUUUGUUUUAGAUACAUAAUGUUGGAUUAAUGGUGGCUUCAAGGCACAGAAGACAUCCCAGAUACAGAUGAUUCCUUGAGUUCCAACAUCACAUGAAAUUAUUUCAUUUUUGAUUGGUAAAUGUUUGGACACUAACAACUUUAUCAGGAUUUAAGAUCAAAUAAGCAAGCAUAGAUAUACACAUAUAUAUCCAGUUCAAACUGUGUUUGAUUUCAGUUAUUAGUGCUAUGUUCAUAUUGUAUAAACCAUUAACUUCAACAAUUACAGAAGACGUGCAUUGCCCCAUCUUCUUUGUCAAGCCACCUGGCCUGACUUGUAACAGGUAUCGGGAUUCCCUGCUGGAGUAGUUGUGUGCU